UACGUAGGGCGCAAGCGUUAUCCGGAAUUAUUGGGCGUAAAGAGCUCGUAGGCGGCUUGUCGCGUCUGCUGUGAAAACUCGAGGCUCAACCUCGGGCUUGCAGUGGGUACGGGCAGACUAGAGUGCGGUAGGGGUGACUGGAAUUCCUGGUGUAGCGGUGGAAUGCGCAGAUAUCAGGAGGAACACCGAUGGCGAAGGCAGGUCACUGGGCCGCAACUGACGCUGAGGAGCGAAAGCGUGGGGAGCAAACAGG
rnacentral:rRNA from 1 species